AACGGCCUGAAAAUAUGGCAGAUUCAUGAUACCCUUAAACAACGGCUACAACUUCCGCUGUCCUGAUUGGUUCAGCCAAGGCCGCUGACACUUGAAUGAUGUUUAUUUAAACCAAUAAGAUUCGAAGAAUUUUCGAUCGACGACGUCUGAGGUAAAAUUAUUUUAGUAGACUGUAAUAUGUGAAUAAUAACUGACAUUAAUUGACAUUAAAGUACGUAGAAUAUUUGAAAAGGCCGUCUCCCAUAGAUUUAUUUUGUUAUAGGUUGUUAUAGAAGGGCUGCUCAUUCGUGCUCCUGGAGGUCUACCAUCCCGCAGAGCUUGGCUUCAACAUAGCUGGCGCUAAUACUGAGAUGCUGCUGAAGGACCUGCACCUAAGUACCAUAGGAAGGGUAAAAUGUACAGAUGCAGCCACCUCAAUUUUCCCCUCCCAGCCGGCUGCCUGCUGGUUGCCAGCCAAGUGACAGCCGGCUGCCUACCGUUUGCCUGCCAAAAGCCAGCCAAAGGGAGUAACCCUCCUCCUUCUGGGGGUGUGCCUAAAUUCACGUCUAAACCCGCCCAUUUACUCACUUGCAGGGUGUUACCAUGGAAUGGUGCUUUCUUUACAAAAACACAUUUUAGUUGUGGUCACAUGUUUACAUACACAAGUACAACAGGUAUCAACCAGAAUCUUUUGGUAGCCAUUAGCAAGCCUCUGGCAUAAUUCUGGCUGAAUAUCACCACUCUUCUUUGCAGACUUUCUACUUCAUUUAAACUAGUUGGAUUCCUGGCACGGACCUGGCUUUUCAGCAUAACCCACAACUGUUUUGAAGCUUGGCAUCCUGAUCAGGAGUGACAAUUUACAUAAAAACUUUUUUUCAGUUGCUAAGACAGUACUAUAGAUACUACCCUCUACUAUCGCUUCACAUGCAUGACCCAUCCUUGGUAUUGCUCUGGAGAAAUAUCUUGGCAUACAGCAUUCAUUGUUUGAUCUUGUGUCAAUUUACAUAAUUUGUUUAUUUUAUGUGGUUUUUACAAUCUAUCUUAGAAAGGGUCUUGAUAGUAAUUUAGCAAAAUGACAUAUUUCAGUUUUGACUGUUUUAUUAGCAGUUUUAGGGUCAGUAUGUACUUAUGUGCAAAAUUUAAUGUUGUGGGACAGGAAUCCAUGAUUUUUGAAGCAUUUAGUUAUUGAUUGCAUUUUGUAUGAAAGCAAAGCGAAAUGCUUAACAGUUUAGCCCACAUAAGCUAAUGUUGUGGUGACUGUAUGAAGAGUUUUGAGAAAGCAACUUCAGUAUUGCAGUAUCUGUCUUAGCAAUUGAAAAAAACUGUAAAAUUCACACUGCCUUUCCAAACUGAUUAGUGUGAGGAGCAGUGACAGACAUUCCAGACUGAUGGGCCAUUGACAGUAUGCAAAGGUGUGGUGACUCCAGAGUCACUUCAUAGUUGUUACACUUUAAUAAUCAAAUCUCAUACAAUUCUUUGAAUGUCUCAUUCACCUUUGUGUAGCCAGCCCCUAUGUCUAUAAGCUUCAGAGCUCAAAAAUCUUGGCUAGAAAUGUUUAUAAUGUGAUUUUUUGCAAUUUGUCAGCACCACUGAAAAUAGGUUUUUGAAAAGUGUAUGUUUAACGUAGAUUUUAACAAAAACAAUAGAAUAACCACAUUCUAAAUGAUCUCAGAUUAUUGCUGCUGAGUUUGCUGAAUAAAAGCAUUUGUAGCA